CCUUGGGGGCAACCCUGAUCCAGCCAUGCCGCGUGAGUGAAGAAGGCCCUCGGCCUGUAAGCUCCCUAAGCGGGGAGGAUGGGUCGUAACUUAAUACCCUUUUGUCCUGCGGUACCGGAAGAAUAAGCACCGGCUAACUUCGUGCCAGCAGCCGCGGUAAUACGUAGGGUGCAAGCGUUAAUCGGAACUACUGGGCGUAAAGCGUGCGUAGGCGGUUUGUUAAGUCUGAUGUGAAAUCCCUGGGCUUAACCUGGGAAUGGCAUUUGAUACUGGCUGGCUGGAGUGUGGUAGAGGGUGGUGGAAUUCCCGGUGUAGCAGUGAAAUGCGUAGAGAUCUGGAGGAACAUCUGUGGCGAAGGCAACCACCUGGACCAACACUUGACGCUGAUGCACGAAAGCGUGGGGAGCAAACAGGAUUAGAUACCCUGGUAGUCCACGCUCUAAACGAUGCGAACUGGAUGUUGGGUGCUUUAUGCUCUCAUUUUCGCAACUUACGCGUUAAUUUCCCUGGGGGAAUAUCACGGUCGCCCAGGG
rnacentral:rRNA from 1 species